GGGGGGGGGGGGCGGGGGGCGGGGGGGGUGGGGGGGGAGGGGGGGGGCGCGGGGGGGGUGGGGGGCUCGGGGGGCGAGCGGGGGAGUGACACGGGAGUAACCUGCCCUUGACUUUGGGAGAACUUCAGGAAACGGGGGCUAAUACCGGGUAGGAGCUCCUGCUGCAUGGGGGGGGUUGGAAAGUUUCGGCGGUUGGGGAUGGACUCGCGGCUUAUCAGCUUGUUGGUGGGGUAGUGGCUUACCAAGGCUUUGACGGGUAGCCGGCCUGAGAGGGUGACCGGCCACAUUGGGACUGAGAUACGGCCCAGACUCCUACGGGAGGCAGCAGUGGGGAAUAUUGCACAAUGGGCGGAAGCCUGAUGCAGCAACGCCGCGUGCGGGAUGACGGCCUUCGGGUUGUAAACCGCUUUCGCCUGUGACGAAGCGUGAGUGACGGUAAUGGGUAAAGAAGCACCGGCUAACUACGUG
rnacentral:rRNA from 1 species